GCAGCCAGCUCCAGACCGGGAGAAAGCUGAGGCCACAGGGAAUUCCCAAAAAGCAAUGGAAGGCCCAGCCAUGCCUGCUGAGAGUGGAAGGCUUUACUGAAGAGUGCCAGGAGCUGCAGAGGCUCCAGCAGGCUGGGGCCAUACUUGAAGUGCUCAGAGAGCGGCUGCAGGUGAUAUGCAGGCAGCUCCAGAUUGGGAGAAAGCUGAGGCCACAAGGAAAUCCCAAAAUGCAAUGGAAGGCCCAGCACUGCCUGCUGAGGGAGGAAUGCCCUCCGGAAGAGUGCCAGGAGCUGCAGAGGCUCCAGCAGGCUUGCGCCAAACUUGGAGUGCUCAGCGAUCAGUUGCAGGAGAAAUGCAGGCAGUUCCAGAUCGGUAGAAGGCUGAGGCCACACGGAAAUCCACAACAGCAAUGGAUGGCCCAGCCAUGCCUGCAGAGGGAGGAACACCCUCCUGAAGAGUGCCAAAAGCUGCAGAGGCUCCAGCAGAGUGGCGCCAAACUUGCAGUGCUCAGCGAUCAGCUAGAGGAGAAAUGCAGGCAGCUCCAGAUUGUGAGAAAGCUGAGGACACAGAGAAAUCCCAAAAAGCAAUGGAAGGCCCAGCCAUGCCUGCUGAGAGU
ensembl:lncRNA